GCGCCGUUAGCUCAGUUGGUAGAGCAGCUGACUCUUAAUCAGCGGGUCCGGGGUUCGAGCCCCUGACGGCGCAC
rnacentral:tRNA from 6 species